rnacentral:rRNA from 1 species
ACGAGUGGCGGAUGCCUUAGUACGGGUACGUCAUUUGCCCACAAACGGGGGACACAUUUGGAACUUUAUGCUAAUACCGCAUAAUAGCAUUGUUCGUUGAUCACGCUAGAAGAUCCCUUCUCGCAUUCACUUCUGGAUGGACCUGCGGUGCAUUAACUUGAUGGACAUGUAAUGACCUACCAAGGCGAUCAUGCACAUUGGAACUGAGAGACUGAUCGGCUCCUUGGGAAUGAGACACGGCCCAUACUCCUACGGGAGGCAACAGUCUGGGAAUCUUCCACCUGGGGAGUGACCUGAUGGACGGCACCGCGUGUCUGAUGAAAGAUUCAGCUCGUAUGCUCUGUUGUUAAAGAAGAACACGUAUGACAGUAACUGUUCAUACGUUGACGGUAUUUAACCAGAAAGUCACGGCUAACUACGUGCCAACAGCCGCGGUAAUACAUAGGUGGCAAGCGUUAUCCGGAUUUAUUGUGCGUAAAGAGAGUGCAGGCGGUUUUCUAAGUCUGAUGUGAAAGCCUUCGGCUUAACCGGAGAGUGCAUCGGAAACUGGAUAACUUGAGUGCAGAAGUGGAUAGUGAACUCC